GCUGUUGCCAUGUAUUUUAUAAAUGUUUUAUAUAUCUCAUUGACAUCAUGAAAUAGGAAAAAACAAUAACACGUCAUUCAAUUGAUGCCUCGAAAGUUUCUACAUGAUUUCCGGAAAACGUGCAAAACCCAGUGGGCCAGUUGACCUGUGACAAUCAGAAAGACCCCGUUGCAACUCUUGUGACGGACAGGUAUCCACGUUUAUCUGACAACAUUGAAAUUUGCCCACGUAUGGCGUCGGAUGACAUUUGGAAAGUGUGUGAAUUGGGUGAGAAAACAAUAAAGAGCCAUGCCAGGACUACUUUGAGCACAGAUGAAAAAGUUCUAAUCACACUGCCAAGGAAUGAUUCUACCACAGCAGAGUUCAUAGAGGUCCACGUGCUGGACGGCAGUUCCACCACCAUAGUCAGCGCCAGCACCCAGACAGACUGGGAGUGGGUGGAGCAGGCACUCACAGACAGCUGUCAAGUUCAAAGUAAAGUGGAGAGGUCUGAGCCAAAAGCCUCAUCACAGACAGUCCCCCAGAGUAUAGUUAUUGGGCCAGAUUCAGAGAAUGAAGAGACAGAUAUGGAGAAGGAAAAUGAGUUGUAUGGUAUACCUAAUGUGGGGCCACCUUCCAUGUUGGCCUACAAACCAGAGUCGAAACAACCCCCUGUUCAUUUUGAAAAGGUAAGCAACCUCAAGCACUUUGGAUGAGAAAUGAUACAAUGACUACAAAGUUAA
rnacentral:lncRNA from 8 species